AUACGGAGGGGGCAAGCGUUGCUCGGAAUUACUGGGCGUAAAGGGCACGUAGGCGGACCGACUAGUCAGGUGUGAAAUCCCGGGGCUCAACCCCGGAACUGCACUUGAAACUACAUCUCUCGAGGAUAGGCGGAGAAAACGGAAUUCCAUGUGUAGCGGUGAAAUGCGUAGAUAUAUGGAGGAACACCAGUGGCGAAGGCGGUUUUCUAGCUUAUUCCUGACGCUGAGGCGCGAAAGCGAGGGGAGCAAACAGGAUUAGAAACCCCAGUAGUCC
rnacentral:rRNA from 1 species